AUUUUUAAAUUUUAUUUCUAUAUACAACUUAAGGUUUCAAAAUGAAUAGUGAGAUUCUAUAUCUUAUAUCUUUUAACCUUUUAUACCAACUUUAUCCAUUUUUACCUUCUUUUUUUCUCUACCCGUAUCUCUCACCUUGUUCCUCCAACUCUAUGAGAAUUAUCUGUUGCAGUCUCUCACUGUGCUUCCAACUAUGUGCUCCCCAACUCUUUCUGUCAAACGCAAACGGCUUUAGCUUUAAAUAAGCUUUGAUGGAGUUUCACUAUGUUCAAUGGCCCACUCUUCAUACCCCUCUUCUUAAGUUGAACGGAUGGUCACAAUAUUGUUUUCAUUCUUGGAAGGAAACCAAAUCAAUUUACAGUUUGGGUCAAGUAAAGAAAUGGAUAGAGCUAUAAGUUUCCAUGAUGAAAGUGCAGUGAGUUAUCAAGGAUUCAACUUUAGCUAGUGACGGUAAUGCCAGCUCGAUAAAGAAGCUUUAAUGGAGUUUCAGUGUCUUCAAUGGCCGAAAAGACAACUCUUAUUUCUUCAUGUUCAAUGUUCAGAGACAUGAGCUUUCAGAUGGAUGAUAGUCAAAUUGGGCUCUACAAUUUGUGUAUCAAGUUGAUAAUUGCUUGGUGCUUCAUAGUCUUCUAGUUACUCAUUCUGAAGCACUUUUCUCAUAACCCGAAGAAUCCGAAAAAAAAUAUUGAUAUAAUUCAACAUUGGAUACUUUCAUGGCUUUCAAAACAUCACUCCAAGUGCAAAAUAGAAAUGAAAUUUCAUGCUUAGAAUUUUCAUUUAGCACCAAAAAAUGUUAACAGAUUGAAAAGAAUAGAAGGUAUUCUCCUUGUAAGAGCUUGCAAUUAUGUAUGAGAUGUCUGCAAUUUCUUUAAUAUCAUAAUGUUUAGUGACUUCCAAAACAUAGGCCAUGAAUGAAAAGAUGCAGAGCUCUGAUGAUGCUCAAAUGGAGUUUCAAAGAUAUUAUAAACAGCUCGUUUUGGGGUUUCUCUGCAACGAUAUUGUGAAUGGUCAAUGGCGAUGAAAUAUUGGUUUAGAAAAGAUGCACAAAAAUCUUUUUAGGGUUGUUUAGGGUUUCUCUUUGAAGAAGCUUUAAUGGAGUUUUGGGUAUCUUUCUAUGGUUUUCAAAAACUAAAGAGAGAAUGUCAAGAGAAAGCUAGAGAGAGAAAGUGACAUACCUUUGGGGUGUGGUGAAAGAGUGAGACCCAUGGGGAGAGUGAAAGAAUUGGGCUUGG
rnacentral:lncRNA from 1 species